GACAGGUGAUGCAAGUGUUAUCCGGAAUGAUUGGGCGUAAAGCGUCUGUAGGUGGUUUACCAAGUCUGUUGUUAAAACUGAGGGCUUAAACCCUGAUACGGCAAUAGAACUAUAGGCGUAGAGUACGGUAGGGGCAGAGGGAAUUUUCGGUGUAGUGGUGAAAUACGUAGAUAUCGAGAAGAACACCGAUAGCGAAAGCACUCUGCUGGGCCGACACUGACAUUGAGAAGACGAAAGCUAGGGGAGCGAAAGG
rnacentral:rRNA from 1 species